rnacentral:lncRNA from 1 species
CGAGUGGGAAUUUCGCAUUGUUCAGUGUGUUAAAACUGUGUAAUUAUAUGCUGAUGUCCACGCCUAGAUGGCCAUGUCCACUUCAGGUGUAAUUUAUCUGGAACGGGGAACCUCCUCCCUGCAGUCCCUUUCUCCAAGAAACUUAUUUUCAGUAAAUGAUUAUAUUUAGUUCUUUAGCCUGGAACCCGGGAGUGACUCAAAUCCUAAUGGAUCUGUCUUCUGUUGAUUUUCUUACAUAUUAUCCUCCAUCCUUUUUUGCCACCUGGUUAUUUCCAGCUAGGCUCCCAGCCUGUAGUCUUCGUUCUCUUACUGCUAUAAUUGCCUCCUGGCUGCCUUUCUCUCCGCGCCACCUCUAGACCAAAGGACUCAUUCCCUUUAUGAUGAAAUUUCCGAUUACCUUCAUUGAGAUACAACUUCUUCUUUAAGAUGUGUUUAUCCUGGAAUCAUUCUUCUAAUACUGCUUUUAUUUUUUCUUUUCCCCAGAUAUCCCAGAAGAAACUGAAGAAACAAAAACUUAUGGCCCGGGAAUAAAUGCCGCA